CAGUUUGUAACAAUUAGUUACUUGGCAGCAACGGGAAUGAACAGCUGUGUCCUAUGAAAGAGGAGGUGGGCUAGUUCCAUCUGCAGCCAGAGACUUAGCAAGGAAGGGUGAGAGUUCCAGGGGGGCAUCUUGCAGACCAAUGUAAGGAAGAAUUUCCAAGAACGAGGCCUGCCCAGCAUCGAUGUGGCUGCCUUGGGCCAUUCUGCCUCCUACAGCAUCGGACUGACCACCUCUUGGGAACAUAGCAGGUAGCUCGCAUUUCCCCGGGACACAUUGCUGAAGCUUGUCACGGUGGUGAGAGAGACCUGUGGUCUCCUAGGAGGCGUGGAGCAGCCUUCCCACACUCUCUGCACAUACACAUCCUCGGGGGAUCUGGUCCAGGGGCAGAUUCUGACACCCCAGGCCUCAGCUGAGGCUCCAGACGCUGUGUCUCUCACAAGCCCUCGGAGGACAGUGAUGCUGCAGGUCCACAGGCCACAGGGAUCCAGAGUGGCUGCUGAGGAGAAGACAGAGCAUAAAGAGGUUAAACCAUGCCUAUGGUCACCCCUAUCGGUGAAGCUGAGAUUUGAAGUGGCGUUUGGACCCCAGAGCUGAGCUGAUUAUCACCAUGACAUUCAACCUUCCAGAAUCCUGCAGACCCUCAAUAGGGUGCCCUGCCCUCCUGUCCAUGCCUGGGCCUUCCAGGACUAGCAGAGUGGUGUAGGACAUUCAGGGAUGGGCCAGGGCAUCCUUGUACGUGGCCCCUCCCUAGGUCACCCCCAAUCCCUGCUCUGGUUGGCUCCACACUUUUACAUGAAGCCCCGCUGCUCCCAGAUGGGGGAUUAGACCAGGGGCUCCUGUUCAGCUUUUCAUGCAGGAAGACUACUGAGCAGGGGCUGGCUGUGGAAGAGGGGAAAGUUGCCACCCUUGUCUAAAAUUGCCGCUGCGGGAUGGAGAGGAAGAUUCCUGCAUACCCAAGGAGAGGUUGAGGCUCCAGGGAGAAGGAGGGAGCAGCGCUGCCUGAGCACAUGCCCCCAGCGUGUGGGCUGCUGGGCAGAUGCCAGCAUCCCCAUCAUUUAGGGCCUGAAUAAACAGCCUUGUUUUACUCUGCUCUUUGCUGAGCAAAACAGGGCUCCAAACCCCUCCUGGCCAUCCUCAAAUCUCUUCCAUUUUCCAAAUCCUCAAACGCUUGAGGCUGUAUCUCUUUGGCCUGUCCACCAUAGAAAACAAGAGGCUGGUCCCUUCCCAGGCGAGGAGAGCCUCCCUCCCGGUGCUCCUGCGGUCGCCACACGUCUCCGUGGCUGACUCUUUAUAGCAAGGUGCAGACACCAGGGAUGGGGGUUCAGAUGUGUGCACAGCAGGGUCUUUGGGGUCAGGGAGCUCUUCAGGGCAGGCAGAGCACAUUCUCAGGCCAUUAGCUGGUUGGGCCAGAGUUCACCUGCCACCACCCUGCCCCCAGACCAGCAUCACGGCAGGGUCCCUGGUCCCUCAGAGACCCCUUGAGAGAGCAAUCCCCACCACGGUCCAGGAGGUAGCUGCAAACCUGGAAAAACAGGACAGACUCCAGGAGAAGCACAUAAGCCAAUUAAGAGCCCAGGCUGGCCCGGCGGCUCCAGUAGCACCUGCUCUCAUCUUGUGAGGUGCAUGCGGCUUGGGCUGCUGGGAAGGUACAGUGCGGCCUAAUUACACACUCCUCCGUGACAGGCGGUGUCAAAAGAUUAAAGGAAUCAAACCAAGUGGCUCUCCAGUGGCCCCUCCCCCAGGAACCAGAGCUGCUGCGUGAAGGUGAUUAUGGUACCAACGUAGUGGUUAGAAAGAUAAUUUUCUCUGGGCCCUGUGCCUGCCGCCUCCUCCACUGAGCUGCGCUUCGGCACUGCGACUCGGCCACCUUGUCUGGGCUUCACAGAUUCCUUUUCUUUUUUGUUGGCACAGCUGAGCAGAAGGAAACAAACUAAGCAGCUCUCCCUCCACCAGCCUCCCACCCCACCACCCACGGGCCUCUCCUCCUCUUCCCUCUCCUCCCCU
rnacentral:lncRNA from 1 species